rnacentral:misc_RNA from 1 species
CUCUCUCUCUCUCUCUCGCAAAUUCUGGAUGUACCUCCUUAAUGGGGUGAUGGGUUCCACAAAUUUUGGUUUCAUUGCUACAGUUCUUUAAGUUCUUUAUAUAUUCUAGGAAUAAGCAAAUUGAGCUAGUUCAAAAAGGACUAAGCAAACUGGUUUCAUUCCUAUGGAUCAAUACUCAGUUCAGGAACCUCUUCUUUCAAGUCAAGGUGUCAAGAAGAAGCCUCUCUUUGUAUCAUCAGCGAAAUGGGUUCUCAAGAUUCUAAUUUGGGUGAUUUUCAUUGCAUGGGUUGUUUUUAUCUUUGUGUAUCCAACACAAUUGGGCAAUGAAAUAUUUGAGAAAUGUAUUGGAGCCACCAAGGGAACUCCUUUUGGUCUUUCAGGAAGCAUAUUCUUAUUAUUGAGUGGACCGAUUCUUCUUAUUGCAAUUCUUGCUAUUGCACAUCUUAUCAUCUCUGGGGAAGAGGAUAUCCAGCAGAAGAAGAAUUCAAAGUAUCCACGUGUCCGCUUGUGGACAUUUCCUGUUCUCGUGGGUGGACCAUUUGGGGUUGUUUCUGCUGCUGAGUUCAUUGGGAUUCUUCUCUUUGUUGUGUACAUCAUCUGGGCUGUUUAUGCCUAUACAAUAAGGAAUCUCAGCCUUAUCUCCAAUUGGCAUUUUACUUCUAAAGAGGAAGGCAUCUGGCUAUUAGAAUUGACAGGGCUUCGACUUGGUAUGAUUGGAUUAUUUUGCUUGGCAUUUCUAUUCCUUCCGGUGGCAAGAGGAUCAGUUCUUCUCCGCCUUAUUGAUAUCCCUUUUGAGCAUGCUACAAGAUACCAUGUGUGGUUGGGACACUUGACAAUGCUGCUCUUUACCCUCCAUGGGCUAUUUUAUGUAAUUGGAUGGGGAAUGCAGGGUAAUCUGCAAUAUGAAAUAAUGGAAUGGAGAGAUGUUGGAAUUGCCAAUUUUGCAGGUGUUGUCAGCCUUUUAGCCGGACUUCUGAUGUGGGUGACAUCACUUCCUGGUGUGAGACAGUGGAGUUUUGAAUUGUUUUUUUACACCCAUCAACUAUAUGUGGUCUUUGUCCUCUUCUUGGCGUUCCAUGUUGGUGAUUUUAUUUUCAGCAUGUCUGCUGGUGGAAUAUUUCUUUUCAUGCUUGAUCGGUUUUUGAGAUUUUGCCAAUCACGAAGGACUGUAGAUGUAGUUUCAGCCAAGUGCCAUCCAUGUGGAACUGUGGAAUUGGUCUUUUCAAAACCAGGAAACUUGCGAUAUAAUGCCCUUAGUUUCGUUUUUCUUCAAAUCCGGGAAUUAUCAUGGCUGCAAUGGCAUCCUUUCAGCGUCUCAUCUAGCCCUUUGGAUGGUAAAAAUCAUCUAUCCAUUCUCAUAAAGGUCCUCGGGAGAUGGACAGAGAAGCUUAGAGAAAACAUCAUGAAAACAUCUGAGGUAGAAACAGCAAAAUUGCUGGACCAACCUUUCCAACCGCAUGCCAAGAUAACAGCUUCUGUUGAGGGGCCAUAUGGGCAUGAAGUACCAUAUCACUUGAUGUAUGAGAACCUCAUUCUAGUAGCUGGUGGAAUAGGAAUUUCACCUUUCUUGGCAAUCUUGAGCGAUAUUCUCCACCGUAUUAAUGAAGGCAGACCCUGCUUACCCAAAAAUGUUUUAGUUAUUUGGGCUGUCAAAAAAUCAAAUGAGCUUCCUCUUCUGUCAACCAUCAACAUGGAGUCAAUUUGUCCAUAUUUCUCUGACAAACUAAAUCUGGAGAUUUGCAUUUAUGUUACUCGUGAAACAGAUCCCCAAUUGGAAGAGGGGAUUGUUCACAAGGCUACAACUUCUUCUAUCUGCACUGCCACUAAGGGAUAUGGCAUGUCAGUUUUGGUUGGUACAGGUGAUAACAUAUGGUCUGGACUUUACAUUAUUUGUUCUACAGUGGGCUUUGUUAGUCUUCUGGGUUUGUUAGAUGUGUUCUAUAUAAACCGAUAUGGCAUACAAUCAUGGUGGUAUAAAGGACUUCUUUUUGUAGCAUGUAUGGUUGCCAGUAUUGUUAUCUUUGGAGGUUGUGUGGUUGGUUUGUGGCAUCUGUGGGAAAGGAAAACUUUGGCCAGGGAGGAACACUUGGACAACAGGAUGAAGGCUGAGAAGGUGCCAGAUAAUGAAGAUAUGACAAAUGAUAAUUUCUUUGAGAAAAAACAUUCAAGCUUUACUGUGAUACAGUAUGGUUCAAGACCAGACUUCAAAGAAAUUCUUGGAUGCGUAUCGAAGCGAUGGGGCUUUGUUGAUGUAGGGGUGAUUAUAUGUGGUCCUCCAACUCUUCAGUGCAGUGUUGCUAGAGAAAUCAGGUCUCAGAAUUUGAGGAGGGAAUCUGAUGAUCCUGUUUUCCAUUUCCACAGUCAUAGCUUUGAUCUGUAGCCAAAUGCUGCAAUAUGUUCCUUCUUACAGCAUUAGGUUGCAGUAUGUAUAUCUUAUAGCAAGUAAAUCUCUAAAAUAUGAGAUAGGAUGUUGUCUAUUUAGCAUGUAGAUUGUAAUGUAUGUAAUCAGCACUUUCCCUCUUU